AUGGCCGGGCAAGCCCAUCCUGCCCACGCUGCUCUCCAUGGAAUAGCGGUCCCAGCAGAUCUCCUCUCCCCCGCGGUCCACUCCCCCAACGAGCUGCUCUCCAUGGAACACCGAGGUCGCGGUCUCCUACUCGGCGAGAUCCAUGGUUGGCGUCCUCCUCUGCUGCUGAGCCCACCUCCCGCAUCUCUGAUCGAGGCUCUGCUCGAUUCGGUGCUUCGUUGUGUCCAUGGGGGUUUCAGCUGGGCCUCUGGAGUAAGUGAUGGAUUUAAAGAUGAGUUAUCCACCGGCAAGCCCCUACUGAAAUUUGCCUCCUCUCCAUCGAUCCCUGUUGGUCAAAGGAGGCAAGAAACUGAUUGGAGGAGGCCGGUGCGCAUGCAGGCGGUGGACAACCUGACGCUGGUCGGUUCCUGCGCGCGCGCGACCACGACGUGGACAAGGCCUCCGCCAUGUUCCUCAAGUUCCUCAAGUGGCGGAGGGAGGCGGCGCCCGGCGGCUCCGUGCCGGAGGAGCAGGUGAGGAGGGAGCUGUCGCAGGACAAGCUGUGCAUGGGCGGCGGCGACAGGGCCGGCCGCCCCAUCCUCGUCGCCUUUGCGGCCAGGCACUUCUCCGUCGGCCGUGACAUGGCAGAGUUCAAGAGUUUUGUUGUCUACUUCUUCGACAAGAUCUGUGCCAGAAUCCCCAGAGGGCAGGAGAAAUUCCUCUGCAUCGUUGAUCUCAAGGGCUGGGGGUACUCAAACUGUGACGUCCGGGCAUACAUUGCCGCUAUAGAGAUCUUGCAGUAUUUCUACAGGUUAACAAGGUACAUACAAAGAAGGCGGCUGCUCCCAAGAUUGCUAAACAAGAGUCCAGUGAUGAUGACACUAGCGACGAGACCUUUGAAUCUGAUGAGUUGCAAAAAAUGGUUCGAAGACGGUCAAGCAAGAGAGCAGCAGCGAUGAGGACAGUUCUGAAGAUGAGUCGGAUGACGACAGUGAUGAUGUGAGUUGAAGUUUCCUCGGCGUCCCUGCAUCGCUUCCACCAGCCCUCCCCACACGCGGCGACAGGGUCGUCGUCGUCCCGGCUCCGCGUCGGCCACACCCGAACGAUCGUCUCCAUGUCGUGCCGUCUCCAGUUAUGCGAGCGAGGCUGGAUAAGGUCGUGGGGUUCCAACAAGGUGGUGCAGCUCCAUUCGUCCCUCCACCUCACCCGCCGGCCAUCUCUCGAUUCCUUUUUGUGUGCUCAGUUUUUUCUUUGUGUGUCAUGAGUUUCAGAACUUGAUUGGGAUGGUUUUUGUGCCAUGAGAAUUAGGGUUUGAUAGGGAUGAUUUGGGUAUCAGUUCUUACGGUCACUGGAAUUUGCAUAUUGUCAUAGUCUAAUGCCAUUAAAUUUUGAGGGUAGCGAUAUUGUUUUCAACCUAUUGAAUAGGGUAUAUGAUGAUGUUGGCAAGCGCUGGAGCAGGUAAUAUUUUGU